UCCCCUGUAGCUCAGUUGGUAGAGCGGAUGGCUGUUAACCAUCAUGUCAGCAGUUCGAGUCUGUUCGAA
rnacentral:tRNA from 1 species